ACAGUCUUGGUCCUAAACUUACUGUUAUUUAUAGACGAUAUUACACAUGCAAGUAUCCGCACCCCAGUGCCAAAGCCCAGGUUUCUAUACCUAUUAGAACAGGAGCCGGCAUCAGGCUCACAUCUUUAGUAGCCCAAAACGCCCUGCCACGCCACAUCCACACGGACUACAGCAGUGAUUAACAUUAAGCAAUAAGCCGCAGCUUGACUAAGAUACGUCUACUAUCAAACAAGGGCCGGCUAAUUCCGUGCCAGCCGCCGCGGUUAUACGGAAAGCCCAAACCAACAGUCCCCCCGGCGUAAAAUGUGACUAGAAUUCAAUUAAGUUUUAAAAUAGGGGUUAAAGCCCAGUGAAGUUGUAAAACACACACACUCACAGACAUAUCCACUAAACCCCCACAAAAAACAUCAUUUGACCUCACGAAGGCUAAGAUACAAACUAGGAUUAGAUACCCUACUAUGCUUAGCAGUUAACAUUGAUAGACCUAAUAAACCCCCACUAUCCGCCAGAGUACUACAAGUGAAAAACUUCAAACUCUAAGGACUUGACGGUGUCCCACACCAACCUAGAGGAGCCUGUCCUAUAAUCGAUACCCCACGAUCAACCUCACCCCCCCUCGCCCCCCAGCCUAUAUACCGCCGUCGUCAGCCUACCUUGUGAAAGCCAAAAAGUUAGCAUAAUAGCCACCCACUAAUACGUCAGGUCAAGGUGUAGCAAAUGGGGGGGAUACGAGAUGGGCUACAUUUUCUGUCUAACAGAAAACUUGCCUAAGGCCUAAUGAAAACCAAGCCGACAGAUGGAUUUAGCAGUAAAUAUGACAAGAGAUGUCUUAUUGAAACUAGCCCUGGGACGCGUACACACCGCCCGUCACCCUCCUCAACACCAUGUACCACUAUACAUAAUAAACUAAUAAAACAAAGAUGAGGCAAGUCGUAACAAGGUAAGCUCACCGGAAGGUGAGCUUGGAAUA
rnacentral:ncRNA from 1 species